ACCGGAUAGGACGAAAGUUUAAAGGUGCUCUUGGCACCGCUGAUGGAUGAGCCUGCGGCGCAUUAGCUAGUUGGUAGGGUAAAGGCCUACCAAGGCGACGAUGCGUAGCCGACCUGAGAGGGUGAACGGCCACACUGGGACUGAGACACGGCCCAGACUCCUACGGGAGGCAGCAGUAGGGAAUCUUCGGCAAUGGGCGAAAGCCUGACCGAGCAACGCCGCGUGAAUGAUGAAGGCCUUCGGGUUGUAAAAUUCUGUUAUAAGGGAAGAACGACUUUAGUAGGAAAUGGCUAAAGUGUGACGGUACCUUAUGAGAAAGCCACGGCUAACUACGUGCCAGCAGCCGCGGUAAUACGUAGGUGGCAAGCGUUAUCCGGAAUUAUUGGGCGUAAAAAGCGCGGCAGGUGGUUGAUUAAGUCUGAUGUGAAAGCCCACCGCUUAACCGGUGGAGGGUCAUUGGAAACUGGUCCAAUUGAAUUGCAGAAAAGGGAAGUGGAAUUCCUUGUGUAGCGGUGAAAUGGGUAGAGAUAUGGAGGAACACCAAGUGGCGAAGGCGGCUUCCUGGUCUGUAACUGACACUGAGGCGCGAAAGCGUGGGGAGCAAACAGGAUUAGAUACCCCGGUAGUCCACGCCGUAAACGAUGAGUGCUAAGUGUUGGGGGUCGAACCUCAGUGCUGAAGUUAACGCAUUAAGCACUCCGCCUGGGGAGUACGGUCGCAAGACUGAAACUCAAAGGAAUUGACGGGGGACCCGCACAAGCGGUGGAGCAUGUGGUUUAAUUCGAAGCAACGCGAAGAACCUUACCAGGUCUUGACAUACCAGUGACCGUCCUAGAGAUAGGAUUUUCCCUUCGGGGACAGUGGAUACAGGUGGUGCAUGGUUGUCGUCAGCUCGUGUCGUGAGAUGUUGGGUUAAGUCCCGCAACGAGCGCAACCCCUGUCGUUAGUUGCCAGCAUUCAGUUGGGGACUCUAACGAGACUGCCAGUGACAAACUGGAGGAAGGUGGGGAUGACGUCAAAUCAUCAUGCCCCUUAUGACCUGGGCUACACACGUGCUACAAUGGUUGGUACAAAGAGAAGCGAAGCGGUGACGUGGAGCAAACAUAAUAAAGCCAAUCUCAGUUCGGAUUGUAGGCUGCAACUCGCCUACAUGAAGUUGGAAUCGCUAGUAAUCGAAAGUCAGAAUGUCGCGGUGAAUACGUUCCCGGGU
rnacentral:rRNA from 1 species